rnacentral:rRNA from 1 species
AUUGAACGCUGGCGGCAGGCCUAACACAUGCAAGUCGAGCGGAUGAAGGGAGCUUGCUCCUGUAUUCAGCGGCGGACGGGUGAGUAAUGCCUAGGAAUCUGCCUGGUCGUGGGGGAUAACGUCCGGAAACGGGCGCUAAUCCCGCAUACGUCCUGAGGGAGAAAGUGGGGGAUCUUCGGACCUCACGCUAUCAGAUGAGCCUAGGUCGGAUUAGCUAGUUGGUGGGGUAAAGGCCUACCAAGGCGACGAUCCGUAACUGGUCUGAGAGGAUGAUCAGUCACACUGGAACUGAGACACGGUCCAGACUCCUACGGGAGGCAGCAGUGGGGAAUAUUGGACAAUGGGCGAAAGCCUGAUCCAGCCAUGCCGCGUGUGUGAAGAAGGUCUUCGGAUUGUAAAGCACUUUAAGUUGGGAGGAAGGGCAGUAAGUUAAUACCUUGCUGUUUUGACGUUACCAACAGAAUAAGCACCGGCUAACUUCGUG